AAUGAAUUGGCAGAUUUUAUGUAUUAAGUUUAGAAUUUAAUUAAGUGUUUAUAUUCACAUUCAUUA
rnacentral:tRNA from 1 species